AUUGAACGCUGGCGGCAGGCCUAACACAUGCAAGUCGAGCGGAUGAAGGGAGCUUGCUCCUGGAUUCAGCGGCGGACGGGUGAGUAUUGCCCAGGAAUCUGCCUGGUAGUGGGGGAUAACGUCCGGAAACGGGCGCUAAUACCGCAUACGUCCUGAGGGAGAAAGUGGGGGAUCUUCGGACCUCACGCUAUCAGAUGAGCCUAGGUCGGAUUAGCUAGUUGGUGGGGUAAAGGCCUACCAAGGCGACGAUCCGUAACUGGUCUGAGAGGAUGAUCAGUCACACUGGAACUGAGACACGGUCCAGACUCCUACGGGAGGCAGCAGUGGGGAAUAUUGGACAAUGGGCGAAAGCCUGAUCCAGCCAUGCCGCGUGUGUGAAGAAGGUCUUCGGAUUGUAAAGCACUUUAAGUUGGGAGGAAGGGCAGUAAGUUAAUACCUUGCUGUUUUGACGUUACCAACAGAAUAAGCACCGGCUAACUUCGUG
rnacentral:rRNA from 1 species